AUUGAACGCUGGCGGCAUGCUUUACACAUGCAAGUCGAACGGUAACAGGGUGCUUGCACCGCUGACGAGUGGCGAACGGGUGAGUAAUGCGUCGGAACGUGCCGAGUAGUGGGGGAUAACGCAGCGAAAGUUGUGCUAAUACCGCAUACGUACUGAGGUAGAAAGUGGGGGACCUUCGGGCCUCACGCUAUUCGAGCGGCCGACGUCUGAUUAGCUAGUAGGUGAGGUAAAGGCUCACCUAGGCGACGAUCAGUAGCGGGUCUGAGAGGAUGAGCCGCCACAACGUGACUGAGACACGGACCAGACUCCUACGGGAGGCAGCAGUGGGGAAUUUUGGACAAUGGGCGAAAGCCUGAGCCAGCCAUGCCGCGUGUCUGAAGAAGGCCUUCGGGUUGUAAAGGACUUUUGUCAGGGAGGAAAUCCCUAGUGCUAAUAACACUGGGGGAUGACAGUACCUAAAGAAUAAGCACCGGCUAACUACGUGCCAGCCGCCGCGGUAA
rnacentral:rRNA from 1 species